GACUGGAAUGUGAUACUCCUGGUAUUGGAUAAAGAACUAGAACAAGAUAAGGUAAAGAAUGGAGUUUGAUACUCCUGGUAUUGGAUAAAGAACUAGAACAAGAUAAGGUAAAGAAUGGAGUUUGAUACUCCUGGUAUUGGAUAAAGAACUAGAACAAGAUAAGGUAAAGAAUGGAGUUUGAUACUCCUGGUAUUGGAUAAAGAACAAGAUAAGGUAAAGAAUGGAGUUUGAUACUCCUGGUAUUGGAUAAAGAACUAGAACAAGAUAAGGUAAAGAAUGGAGUUUGAUACUCCUGGUAUUGGAUAAAGAACUAGAACAAGAUAAGGUAAAGAAUGGAGUUUGAUACUCCUGGUAUUGGAUAAAGAACUAGAACAAGAUAAGGUAAAGAAUGGAGUUUGAUACUCCUGGUAUUGGAUAAAGAACUAGAACAAGAUAAGGUAAAGAAUGGAGUUUGAUACUCCUGGUAUUGGAUAAAGAACUAGAACAAGAUAAGGUAAAGAAUGGAGUUUGAUACUCCUGGUAUUGGAUAAAGAACUAGAACAAGAUAAGGUAAAGAAUGGAGUUUGAUACUCCUGGUAUUGGAUAAAGAACUAGAACAAGAUAAGGUAAAGAAUGGAGUUUGAUACUCCUGGUAUUGGAUAAAGAACUAGAACAAGAUAAGGUAAAGAAUGGAGUUUGAUACUCCUGGUAUUGGAUAAAGAACUAGAACAAGAUAAGGUAAAGAAUGGAGUUUGAUACUCCUGGUAUUGGAUAAAGAACGAGAAUAAGAUAAGGUAAAGAAUGGAGUUUGAUACUCCUGGUAUUGGAUAAAGAACUAGAACAAGAUAAGGUAAAGAAUGGAGUUUGAUACUCCUGGUAUUGGAUAAAGAACUAGAACAAGAUAAGGUAAAGAAUGGAGUUUGAUACUCCUGGUAUUGGAUAAAGAACUAGAACAAGAUAAGGUCAAGAAUGGAGUUUGAUACUCCUGGUAUUGGAUAAAGAACUAGAACAAGAUAAGGUCAAGAAUGGAGUUUGAUACUCCUGGUAUUGGAUAAAGAACUAGAACAAGAUAAGGUAAAGAAUGGAGUUUGAUACUCCUGGUAUUGGAUAAAGAACUAGAACAAGAUAAGGUAAAGAAUGGAGUUUGAUACUCCUGGUAUUGGAUAAAGAACGAGAAUAAGAUAAGGUAAAGAAUGGAGUUUGAUACUCCUGGUAUUGGAUAAAGAACGAGAAUAAGAUAAGGUAAAGAAUGGAGUUUGAUACUCCUGGUAUUGGAUAAAGAACUAGAACAAGAUAAGGUAAAGAAUGGAGUUUGAUACUCCUGGUAUUGGAUAAAGAACUAGAACAAGAUAAGGUAAAGAAUGGAGUUUGAUACUCCUGGUAUUGGAUAAAGAACUAGAACAAGAUAAGGUCAAGAAUGGAGUUUGAUACUCCUGGUAUUGGAUAAAGAACUAGAACAAGAUAAGGUCAAGAAUGGAGUUUGAUACUCCUGGUAUUGGAUAAAGAACUAGAACAAGAUAAGGUAAAGAAUGGAGUUUGAUACUCCUGGUAUUGGAUAAAGAACUAGAACAAGAUAAGGUAAAGAAUGGAGUUUGAUACUCCUGGUAUUGGAUAAAGAACGAGAAUAAGAUAAGGUAAAGAAUGGAGUUUGAUACUCCUGGUAUUGGAUAAAGAACUAGAACAAGAUAAGGUAAAGAAUGGAGUUUGAUACUCCUGGUAUUGGAUAAAGAACUAGAACAAGAUAAGGUAAAGAAUGGAGUUUGAUACUCCUGGUAUUGGAUAAAGAACUAGAACAAGAUAAGGUAAAGAAUGGAGUUUGAUACUCCUGGUAUUGGAUAAAGAACUAGAACAAGAUAAGGUAAAGAAUGGAGUUUGAUACUCCUGGUAUUGGAUAAAGAACUAGAACAAGAUAAGGUAAAGAAUGGAGUUUGAUACUCCUGGUAUUGGAUAAAGAACGAGAAUAAGAUAAGGUAAAGAAUGGAGUUUGAUACUCCUGGUAUUGGAUAAAGAACUAGAACAAGAUAAGGUAAAGAAUGGAGUUUGAUACUCCUGGUAUUGGAUAAAGAACUAGAACAAGAUAAGGUAAAGAAUGGAGUUUGAUACUCCUGGUAUUGGAUAAAGAACUAGAACAAGAUAAGGUAAAGAAUGGAGUUUGAUACUCCUGGUAUUGGAUAAAGAACUAGAACAAGAUAAGGUAAAGAAUGGAGUUUGAUACUCCUGGUAUUGGAUAAAGAACUAGAACAAGAUAAGGUAAAGAAUGGAGUUUGAUACUCCUGGUAUUGGAUAAAGAACUAGAACAAGAUAAGGUAAAGAAUGGAGUUUGAUACUCCUGGUAUUGGAUAAAGAACGAGAAUAAGAUAAGGUAAAGAAUGGAGUUUGAUACUCCUGGUAUUGGAUAAAGAACGAGAAUAAGAUAAGGUAAAGAAUGGAGUUUGAUACUCCUGGUAUUGGAUAUGACUGAAGGAAACGUGCUAAAAUAGAGAUUUUCGGAAAUUAAACUUUAUGACCGAAAAAUAUGUACAAUCGUUUGUCUCUACAUUAACUAACAUAUUCCUCUCAAUUCUACACGUUUUGUUUGACUCGUUAUCUAACUAAUCUAAUCUAUAUCCUGACUGUUGUUGGUAGAGUAUAUCAGAUCGGUGUGAUCUUUAUUUAAUCUAAUCUAUAUCCUGACUGUUGU